rnacentral:rRNA from 1 species
GGGGUCCCUUAGUGACUUUGGUGGCGCAGCUAACGCGAUAAGUAGACCGCCUGGGGAGUACGGCCGCAAGGUUAAAACUCAAAUGAAUUGACGGGGGCCCGCACAAGCGGUGGAGCAUGUGGUUUAAUUCGAUGCAACGCGAAGAACCUUACCAGGUCUUGACAUCCUCGGAACUUGGCAGAGAUGCCUUGGUGCCUUCGGGAGCCGAGUGACAGGUGCUGCAUGGCCGUCGUCAGCUCGUGUCGUGAGAUGUUGGGUUAAGUCCCGUAACGAGCGCAACCCUUGUCCUUAGUUGCCAGCACGUCAUGGUGGGAACUCUAGGGAGACUGCCGGUGACAAACCGGAGGAAGGUGGGGACGACGUCAGGUCAUCAUGGCCCUUACGACCUGGGCUACACACGUGCUACAAUGGCUGGUACAGAGGGUUGCGAAGUCGCGAGGCGAAGCUAAUCCCUUAAAGCCAGUCGUAGUCCGGAUCGGAGUCUGCAACUCGACUCCGUGAAGUCGGAAUCGCUAGUAAUCGCGGAUCAGAAUGCCGCGGUGAAUACGUUCCCGGGCCUUGUACACACCGCCCGUCACACCAUGGGAGUGGAUUGCACCAGAAGUGGCUAGUCUAACUACGGAGGA